rnacentral:rRNA from 1 species
GACGAACGCUGGCGGCGUGCUUAACACAUGCAAGUCGAGCGGAAAGGCCCUUCGGGGUACUCGAGCGGCGAACGGGUGAGUAACACGUGAGUAACCUGCCCCAGACUUUGGGAUAACCCUCGGAAACGGGGGCUAAUACCGGAUACGACACAGCUUCGCAUGGGGUCUGUGUGGAAAGUUUUUCGGUUUGGGAUGGGCUCGCGGCCUAUCAGCUUGUUGGUGGGGUGAUGGCCUACCAAGGCGACGACGGGUAGCCGGCCUGAGAGGGCGACCGGCCACACGGGGACUGAGACACGCCCCAGCCCCCCACGGGGGGCAGCAGUGGGGAAUAUUGCCCAAGGGGGGGAAGCCGGAGGCAGGGCCCCCGGGGGGGGGAUGCCGGCCUUCGGGUUGGAAACCUUUUUCAGCAGGGACGAAGCGUAAGGGACGGUACCUGCAGAAGAAGCCCCGGCCAACUACGU